rnacentral:rRNA from 1 species
GACGAACGCUGGCGGCGUGCCUAAUACAUGCAAGUAGAACGCACAGUUUAUACCGUAGCUUGCUACACCAUAGACUGUGAGUUGCGAACGGGUGAGUAACGCGUAGGUAACCUGCCUGGUAGCGGGGGAUAACUAUUGGAAACGAUAGCUAAUACCGCAUAAUAUUAAUUAUUGCAUGAUAAUUAAUUGAAAGGUGCAAUUGCACCACUACCAGAUGGACCUGCGUUGUAUUAGCUAGUAGGUGAGGUAACGGCUCACCUAGGCGACGAUACAUAGCCGACCUGAGAGGGUGAUCGACCACACUGGGACUGAGACACGGCCCAGACUCCUACGGGAGGCAGCAGUAGGGAAUCUUCGGCAAUGGACGAAAGUCUGACCGAGCAACGCCGCGUGAGUGAAGAAGGUUUUCGGAUCGUAAAGCUCUGUUGUAAGAGAAGAACGGGUGUGAGAGUGGAAAGUUCACACUGUGACGGUAUCUUACCAGAAAGGGACGGCUAACUACGUG